AGUGAACGCUGGCGGUAGGCCUAACACAUGCAAGUCGAACGGCAGCACAGUAAGAGCUUGCUCUUACGGGUGGCGAGUGGCGGACGGGUGAGGAAUACAUCGGAAUCUACUUUUUCGUGGGGGAUAACGUAGGGAAACUUACGCUAAUACCGCAUACUACCUACGGGUGAAAGCAGGGGAUCUUCGGACCUUUCGCGAUUGAAUGAGCCGAUGUCGGAUUAGCUAGUUGGCGGGGUAAAGGCCCACCAAGGCGACGAUCCGUAGCUGGUCUGAGAGGAUGAUCAGCCACACUGGAACUGAGACACGGUCCAGACUCCUACGGGAGGCAGCAGUGGGGAAUAUUGGACAAUGGGCGCAAGCCUGAUCCAGCCAUACCGCGUGGGUGAAGAAGGCCUUCGGGUUGUAAAGCCCUUUUGUUGGGAAAGAAAAGCAGCAGGUUAAUACCCCGCUGUUCUGACGGUACCCAAAGAAUAAGUACCGGCUAACUUCGUG
rnacentral:rRNA from 1 species